AUCUCGGAGGAUGUUGGAUUAUGCGAUAUACAAAUAACGACGCGCUCCAAUCGUAGAAAAACUCAAUCUACGAUCUGAAAGUAAAACAACGUGCAAAUGUGAAUCGAGUGAAAAAAGCCACGAACGAAUGUGGAGUCGCGGCCUGAUCGACGGUCUAGCACAGACUGCGAAGCUUCAAAGUUCCUUGUAAAUACUUGGCUCGACCCCGGUGUGACCCUGCUCUCGAAUUCAUUAUCCCGAAAUGAAAUUCACCAUCGUCAUUUCCUCUACUACCAUCGAUUGAGAUCGCCGUUCAUUUCAUUCGGAAUCGCACACUACGAGUCGUUGUCCGCUCUUUCAAAGUCAACUCUUUCCCCGCGUACUCGUUAUUGAGGGAGUGCUUUUAUCACGGGGGAUGCAAUUGUAGCUGACAUUCGUUGCUCAACGCUUCAACGGUCAGCCAAAAUGUGCUAAUCACGUGAUUUUGUGCCUGGAGGGACGAAGGUCGAUUUCUUAUAAACGAAUAACAAUAAGUCUGUCAAUAGCAUAUUGUUAUCGUUCGAUUAAUCAUGCAUACGAGUGAUUUUCAGUUUUCAGAGAUAAUGAAACUUUCAUAAGAGGGGA